UACGUAGGGUGCGAGCGUUAAUCGGAAUUACUGGGCGUAAAGCGUGCGCAGGCGGUUAUGUAAGACAGGGGUGAAAUCCCCGGGCUUAACCUGGGAACUGCAUUUGUGACUGCAUAGCUAGAGUACGGUAGAGGGGGAUGGAAUUCCGCGUGUAGCAGUGAAAUGCAUAGAUAUGCGGAGGAACACCGAUGGCGAAGGCAAUCCCCUGGACCUGUACUGACGCUCAUGCACGAAAGCGUGGGGAGCAAACAGG
rnacentral:rRNA from 1 species